rnacentral:rRNA from 1 species
CAUGCAAGUUGAGCGGUAAGGCCCCUUGUUUUGUCAGGAAGUGGCAGACGGGUGAGUAACGCGUGGGUAACCUACCUUGAAGUGGGGGAUACCAUUCCGAAAGGGGUGUUAAUACCGCAUAAUACUGCGAAGUCUUCGGGCUUUGUUGUCAAAGCUGGGGCUCUUGGAGGGCCUGGCGCUAUGAGAGGGACUCGCGUCGGAUUAGCUAGUUGGUGAGGUAACGGCCCACCAAGGCAUCGAUCCGUAGCCGGCCUGAGAGGGUGAUCGGCCACACUGGAACUGAGACACGGUCCAGACUCCUACGGGAGGCAGCAGUGGGGAAUUUUGCGCAACGGGGGAAACCCUGACGCAGCAACGCCGCGUGGGUGAAGACGCAUCUCGGAUUGUAAACCCCUGUCAGGUGGGAAGAAGGACUUGUCGGUUAAUACCCGACGGGUUUUGACGGUACCACCAAAGGAAGCCCCGGCUAACUCCGUGCCAGCAGCCGCGGUAAUACGGAGGGGGCAAGCGUUAUUCGGAUUUACUGGGCGUAAAGAGCACGUAGGCGGCAAAUUAAGUCAAAGGUGAAAGCCCUCGGCUCAACCGAGGAACUGCCUUUGAAACUGGCUUGCUUGAGUCCGGGAGGGGGGAGCGGAAUUCCAAGUGUAGCGGUGAAAUGCGUAGAUAUCGGAAGGAACACCAGUGGCGAAGGCGGCCACCUGGACCGGUACUGACGCUGAGGCGCGAAAGCGUGGGUAGCAAACAGGAUUAGAUACCCGGGUAGUCCACGCCGUAAACGAUGGGCACUAGUUGCAGCGGGUGUCGACCCCUGCUGUGACGAAGUUAACGCAGUAAGUGCCCCGCCUGGGGAGUACGGUCGGAAGGCUGAAACUCAAAGGAAUUGACGGGGGCCCGCACAAGCGGUGGAGCAUGUGGUUUAAUUCGAUGCAACGCGAGGAACCUUACCUGGGUUUGAACUACUGAGGGCCGGUGCAGAGAUGCACCCUUCCCUUCGGGGACUUCAGGAGAGGUGCUGCAUGGCUGUCGUCAGCUCGUGCCGUGAGGUGUUGGGUUAAGUCCCGCAACGAGCGCAACCCCUGCCCCUAGUUACCAGCGGAUUAUGCCGGGGACUUUGGGGGGACUGCCGGCGCUAAGCCGGAGGAAGGUGGGGACGACGUCAAGUCAUCAUGGCCUUUAUGUCCAGGGCUACACACGUGCUACAAUGGGCGGUACAAAGGGUCGCAAACCUGCGAAGGUGAGCCAAUCUCAUAAAACCGUCCUCAGUUCGGAUUGCAGUCUGCAACUCGACUGCAUGAAGGUGGAAUCGCUAGUAAUGGCGCAUCAGAACGGCGCGGUGAAUACGUUCCCGGGCCUUGUACACACCGCCCGUCACAUCACGAAAGUCGGUUGCACCAGAAGCCGGCAGGCCAACCUUCGGGAGGCAGCUGUCGAAGG